rnacentral:rRNA from 1 species
GACGAACGCUGGCGGCGUGCCUAAUACAUGCAAGUCGAACGGUCUUUUCUAUGGAAGCUUGCUUCCACUGAGAAGAUAGUGGCGAACGGGUGAGUAACACGUGGGUAACCUGCCCAUAAGAGGGGGAUAACAUCCGGAAACGGGUGCUAAUACCGCAUAGUUUUCUUGAUCGCAUGAUCGAGAAAGGAAAGACGGCCUUUGUGCUGUCGCUUAUGGAUGGACCCGCGGCGUAUUAGUUAGUUGGUGAGGUAACGGCUCACCAAGACGAUGAUACGUAGCCGACCUGAGAGGGUGAUCGGCCACAUUGGGACUGAGACACGGCCCAAACUCCUACGGGAGGCAGCAGUAGGGAAUCUUCCGCAAUGGACGAAAGUCUGACGGAGCAACGCCGCGUGAGUGAAGAAGGUUUUCGGAUCGUAAAACUCUGUUGUCAGAGAAGAACAAGUCGGAGAGUAACUGCUCCGGCCUUGACGGUAUCUGACCAGAAAGCCACGGCUAACUACGUGCCAGCAGCCGCCGUAAUAC